GCAUCUGAGCAAAACAACCAACACGGAAACAGCCCGGCCGUGCUAUCACCUCCUGGAAAAAUGAGGAGAGUGAUGGGUCCUGAGGGAUAAUACCUGAGGGUCUUCAUUUGUGGUAGUAUAUACAAUCAAUAGCUUUGAUUGGAUUUUUUGACAAUAAUUUCCAUUUCAUCUCUGAUAUCUUCAUUUUUAAUUUGGUCAGGUAUUUCUCGUCUUCUCCAUCACCAACUGAGCCAGGGAAGCUUCAGAUUCCAGCUUCGAAAGGAGACGCCCUCGAACCAAAGGCAUCUGAGCAAAACAACCAACACGGAAACAGCCCCGCCGUGCUAUCACCUCCUGGAAAAAUGAGGAGAGUGAUGGGUCCUGAGGGAUAAUACCUGAGGGUCUUCGUUUGUGGUAGUAUAUACAAUCAAUAGCUUUGAUUGGAUUUUUUUGCAGUAACUCUAGCGUCAGUUUGUAAUGCCGCCUUCUGCAAAUUAGUUACCAGUCAAAACUUAUCAGAAAGAACAAAAGGCAAAAAGAAAGAGAGAAACAUUCUCAUUUAGAAAUUUAGAUGAAAAGCAAGUCCAAUCACAAAUAAACAAUGAGAAAUCGGCCAAAAAAACACUGAACUUUGCGGGAAUUGCCAAAAGAAACCUGUACUCGAACCAGACCAAUAAAACUCUGAUCUUUU
rnacentral:lncRNA from 1 species